rnacentral:rRNA from 1 species
UUAAGCGACUAAGCGUACACGGUGGAUGCCCUGGCAGUCAGAGGCGAUGAAGGACGUGCUAAUCUGCGAUAAGCGUCGGUAAGGUGAUAUGAACCGUUAUAACCGGCGAUUUCCGAAUGGGGAAACCCAGUGUGUUUCGACACACUAUCAUUAACUGAAUCCAUAGGUUAAUGAGGCGAACCGGGGGAACUGAAACAUCUAAGUACCCCGAGGAAAAGAAAUCAACCGAGAUUCCCCCAGUAGCGGCGAGCGAACGGGGAGCAGCCCAGAGCCUGAAUCAGUGUGUGUGUUAGUGGAAGCGUCUGGAAAGGCGCGCGAUACAGGGUGACAGCCCCGUACACAAAAAUGCACAUGCUGUGAGCUCGAUGAGUAGGGCGGGACACGUGGUAUCCUGUCUGAAUAUGGGGGGACCAUCCUCCAAGGCUAAAUACUCCUGACUGACCGAUAGUGAACCAGUACCGUGAGGGAAAGGCGAAAAGAACCCGGCGAGGGGAGUGAAAAAGAACCUGAAACCGUGUACGUACAAGCAGUGGGAGCACGCUUAGGCGUGUGACUGCGUACCUUUUGUAUAAUGGGUCAGCGACUUAUAUUCUGUAGCAAGGUUAACCGAAUAGGGGAGCCGAAGGGAAACCGAGUCUUAACUGGGCGUUAAGUUGCAGGGUAUAGACCCGAAACCCGGUGAUCUAGCCAUGGGCAGGUUGAAGGUUGGGUAACACUAACUGGAGGACCGAACCGACUAAUGUUGAAAAAUUAGCGGAUGACUUGUGGCUGGGGGUGAAAGGCCAAUCAAACCGGGAGAUAGCUGGUUCUCCCCGAAAGCUAUUUAGGUAGCGCCUCGUGAAUUCAUCUCCGGGGGUAGAGCACUGUUUCGGCAAGGGGGUCAUCCCGACUUACCAACCCGAUGCAAACUGCGAAUACCGGAGAAUGUUAUCACGGGAGACACACGGCGGGUGCUAACGUCCGUCGUGAAGAGGGAAACAACCCAGACCGCCAGCUAAGGUCCCAAAGUCAUGGUUAAGUGGGAAACGAUGUGGGAAGGCCCAGACAGCCAGGAUGUUGGCUUAGAAGCAGCCAUCAUUUAAAGAAAGCGUAAUAGCUCACUGGUCGAGUCGGCCUGCGCGGAAGAUGUAACGGGGCUAAACCAUGCACGAAGCUGCGGCAGCGACGCUGAUGCGUUGUUGGGUAGGGGAGCGUUCUGUAAGCCUGCGAAGGUGUGCUGUGAGGCAUGCUGGAGGUAUCAGAAGUGCGAAUGCUGACAUAAGUAACGAUAAAGCGGGUGAAAAGCCCGCUCGCCGGAAGACCAAGGGUUCCUGUCCAACGUUAAUCGGGGCAGGGUGAGUCGACCCCUAAGGCGAGGCCGAAAGGCGUAGUCGAUGGGAAACAGGUUAAUAUUCCUGUACUUGGUGUUACUGCGAAGGGGGGACGGAGAAGGCUAUGUUGGCCGGGCGACGGUUGUCCCGGUUUAAGCGUGUAGGCUGGUUUUCCAGGCAAAUCCGGAAAAUCAAGGCUGAGGCGUGAUGACGAGGCACUACGGUGCUGAAGCAACAAAUGCCCUGCUUCCAGGAAAAGCCUCUAAGCAUCAGGUAACAUCAAAUCGUACCCCAAACCGACACAGGUGGUCAGGUAGAGAAUACCAAGGCGCUUGAGAGAACUCGGGUGAAGGAACUAGGCAAAAUGGUGCCGUAACUUCGGGAGAAGGCACGCUGAUAUGUAGGUGAGGUCCCUCGCGGAUGGAGCUGAAAUCAGUCGAAGAUACCAGCUGGCUGCAACUGUUUAUUAAAAACACAGCACUGUGCAAACACGAAAGUGGACGUAUACGGUGUGACGCCUGCCCGGUGCCGGAAGGUUAAUUGAUGGGGUUAGCGCAAGCGAAGCUCUUGAUCGAAGCCCCGGUAAACGGCGGCCGUAACUAUAACGGUCCUAAGGUAGCGAAAUUCCUUGUCGGGUAAGUUCCGACCUGCACGAAUGGCGUAAUGAUGGCCAGGCUGUCUCCACCCGAGACUCAGUGAAAUUGAACUCGCUGUGAAGAUGCAGUGUACCCGCGGCAAGACGGAAAGACCCCGUGAACCUUUACUAUAGCUUGACACUGAACAUUGAGCCUUGAUGUGUAGGAUAGGUGGGAGGCUUAGAAGUGUGGACGCCAGUCUGCAUGGAGCCGACCUUGAAAUACCACCCUUUAAUGUUUGAUGUUCUAACGUUGACCCGUAAUCCGGGUUGCGGACAGUGUCUGGUGGGUAGUUUGACUGGGGCGGUCUCCUCCUAAAGAGUAACGGAGGAGCACGAAGGUUGGCUAAUCCUGGUCGGACAUCAGGAGGUUAGUGCAAUGGCAUAAGCCAGCUUGACUGCGAGCGUGACGGCGCGAGCAGGUGCGAAAGCAGGUCAUAGUGAUCCGGUGGUUCUGAAUGGAAGGGCCAUCGCUCAACGGAUAAAAGGUACUCCGGGGAUAACAGGCUGAUACCGCCCAAGAGUUCAUAUCGACGGCGGUGUUUGGCACCUCGAUGUCGGCUCAUCACAUCCUGGGGCUGAAGUAGGUCCCAAGGGUAUGGCUGUUCGCCAUUUAAAGUGGUACGCGAGCUGGGUUUAGAACGUCGUGAGACAGUUCGGUCCCUAUCUGCCGUGGGCGCUGGAGAACUGAGGGGGGCUGCUCCUAGUACGAGAGGACCGGAGUGGACGCAUCACUGGUGUUCGGGUUGUCAUGCCAAUGGCACUGCCCGGUAGCUAAAUGCGGAAGAGAUAAGUGCUGAAAGCAUCUAAGCACGAAACUUGCCCCGAGAUGAGUUCUCCCUGACCCUUUAAGGGUCCUGAAGGAACGUUGAAGACGACGACGUUGAUAGGCCGGGUGUGUAAGCGCAGCGAUGCGUUGAGCUAACCGGUACUAAUGAACCGUGAGGCUUAACCUU